rnacentral:rRNA from 1 species
AGCUCAAAUUUAUAAUCUGGCACCUUCGGUGUCCGAGUUGUAAUCUCUAGAAAUGUUUUCCGCGUUGGACCGCACACAAGUCUGUUGGAAUACAGCGGCAUAGUGGUGAGACCCCCGUAUAUGGUGCGGACGCCCAGCGCUUUGUGAUACAUUUUCGAAGAGUCGAGUUGUUUGGGAAUGCAGCUCAAAUUGGGUGGUAAAUUCCAUCUAAAGCUAAAUAUUGGCGAGAGACCGAUAGCGAACAAGUACCGUGAGGGAAAGAUGAAAAGCACUUUGGAAAGAGAGUUAACAGUACGUGAAAUUGUUGGAAGGGAAACGCUUGAAGUCAGACUUGCUUGCCGAGCAAUCGGUUUGCAGGCCAGCAUCAGUUUUCCGGGAUGGAUAAUGGUAGAGAGAAGGUAGCAGUUUCGGCUGUGUUAUAGCUCUCUGCUGGAUACAUCUUGGGGGACUGAGGAACGCAGUGUGCCUUU